AGAGAGAACCUAAUCCUGCGUGCGUUUGAGGGCGGGAGGGGAUAGGGUGUCAGAAACGUUCACUGCACAACCUGUUCCCUGCAAUUCGAUGACUGAAGCCGGCCGCCCCACAUUUCCACACUUGGGAAGGGCCGAUGGCGAGGUGACGUGACCUCUUUCAUCCCCUGGCGAGAGAGGCCGAAAGACCCGGGCUCCCGCCGCGGAGCGGAGCCUGCAGCUGUUGAGCGAGACUCUCCCAGAACUAUCAGCAAGCUGUCACCGCCUCCCUUUCCCGCCGUGGGGUGGGGGGUGGGGGACUCAAGUCGAUUCCAAUGUACAAAGAGAAGUAGCGAGAACAAAAGCCCAGGCGCCCCCAAACAUCCAGGGCGCCCAGACUGGAGCUCGCGGGCCGGUAUUCCAGACGCGGCCGGCUUGCCUGGGUUAGGGUGGGGUCUGGGGACAGGCAGAGAUCAGCGGAGGGUCUGUCCACAUGCCCCACUCUCCGGGUUCCAAGGUCUCGCGGCCUGACCUCCGAGUUUCUAAUCCGGAUCCCUUCAGAUGCCGAAACGUCGAGGGCUAGCAAUUCCCAAGGUCACACAGCAAGUGAAGGACAGGGCUUGGACUGGAAUCUCGUCUUUUGGGCACACCAAACCUCAGGGAAAGUGACCGCAUUUCGGCCAAAAGGGCUGUGGCAGGUGUCAGCCUCGAGUGGCGGCUCUGGUGGGACCAAGCUGCGCCGGAAGGAACAGAGCGAGGGCGGCACCCGCGCUGCGAGUGUAGACAUACUCAGAGCGGUCACCUCCUCGCUGCGAGCUCCCAGGAGCAACCCUGAUGCUCAGCGCGGCGGGGUGGGGAUGAGGGGCGCUCAGCUCCACGCUGAGUAACUUGAGCUGGCCGCCUGCCUCCUUCAUCUAACUCUUUCAUUUCUUAGCUUCUGUUUCAGAGCCACUCCACUGAGUGCUCGGGUGAAAACGCGUGUUCAAGAUCAUAUAGAUAGAUGAAAAGACCCUUUCCUCUCAGGUUUCUUUUAAAGGGAGAGGUUUGGGAUAGGGUGAGACUGGAAAUCAUCCUUCUGAAAGCCCAGAGUGCCCUUGGGGACACUUUUGGCCCAAGAUCUGCUUUCCUUUCAAGCAUUUCGCUUGAAUUGUCCCCACACCCCCGCCCCUUCCGGGCAGCCAUUCUUGUUAACCGGUCUGCAUCCCACCCCACCCCCACUGGAAUUGUGAUGCUGCACAUUUUUAUUUUCACAAGAAGCUGAUUUUGUGUUAAAAUGUUGACAACAGUCACACCUUUCCCUAAAGUCUUUCAAUUUAUCUGAUAACCCUUAAGUAAAAAAAAAAAAAAAAUCAUUCUUAAUCCAUGUAGUUCGCAAGAAGAGACUGGUACCCGGCUUUCAAAGAAAAAAAAAAGUCGUUCUUAGUUGGGUCCCCAGCAUUUCUGUUUAUUCAUUAUAUGCAGUGCUUCUCAAUCUAGGUCAUCGUAUAACAGGCACGAAGAUUUGGGGGCAACAUAUUUCAUGAUCUCUUAAUGUUAGUCUUAAUGAUGUAUUAACAUUUAAAAAUUUUCCCUUCCAGAGACAAUUGUAGAAAUAUCGCUGCAUAAAAUACAAUUCAACAUUUGUUUUACACAUAACCUAUUGCGCAACUGAAGUGAGCAAGAUAUCCCUUAAACUAUUAAAAUUAAUAUUUGCUUUCACAAUUUUCAGAUUAUUUUCAACGGCACGUCCUCAAGUGAAUUUGCAUUUCUCUAUUACACACACAAGUCAUUGUUUGAAGAAGUCAGAGAGAAAGGGGGCUUUACAUAGUAGUAAAUUUUUAAAGCAUUGUUUUCAUAAUGCAAUAUAUAUUUUUGACACAGUUAUUGAAAUUACUAGACAUUUAGCAUUAGGGUUCUUCACUGCUUGCCGGGAUUCACCGCUUGAAACCCAAAAAACCCAGCCUGCAGCCCCCAUAGCAGGCUCUGCAGUCGAGAUGCACGCGGUUUCCUAGGCAACCAACACUUAGCCAAUGAAUGAAGAGGAGUUGAAAGAAAGAGGCUGCAAAUCCAUCAUUAUUUCCUUCACACACACACACACACACACACACACACACCACCUCUUCUCAUAGCUCUCCAUUUAGAAAUAUUGGAAAGCUACCAAUCCUAACAUUUAUGUGAAAGAGCCAAAUGCCCGGGGCAUGGGGGCUAGGAAGCGGUCGCAGCCCCAUACUGUGACUGCGGAAAGGACACAGUGGAGGAGGCUCCCGGAAUCCGCCAAAAUCUGCGCCUUCUCAGCUUUGUCGCUCCCCAGUUUCUAUUCCACUGCCCUCCCCCUUCCCCCCAGGCCUUCCCUCCUCCUCCUGGGAAGCGAGAGGCCCGGGCGGAGCUGCCCGGCACUCUUGAAUGGCAGGGGCUGUGGGGUGGCAGCCCCAGAGCCCUGUCCUUCCGCAGCCGUGGGCCCCGCAGGGACCAGCCAAGCAAGGUAACCAAAAGCUGGACCCAGCAGCGGAAACCCCGAGCCCACGAACGCGGCGCAGUGCGGGAACACUUGCCCUUUGUUCCUCGCAGUGACAGAGCAAAGCCGGAGAGAGAGAGGAGCACUGAGGUUUUGACACAUGUAUAGCCAGUGAAACCAUCCUUACAAUCCAGAUUUAGAAAUUUGCCAUGCCAGCCAGGCCUGGAACUCUCCACCGGUAGGUAACUUUGUUUCCUUAAUCUUUGGGUCCUCCUAGCUGAUGAAGAGCUAUCUAUUUUGGUCCCUCAGAUCACAGUGUAAAGGGAUAAACAACCAUGUUAUAGCCAUACAAUGGAACACUGCUAAGCAAUACAAGGACACAAGCUAUUGACACGCACGCAGAUGAACCCAAGAUAAUUAUGAUGAAGGAAAGAAGCCGGACAAAAAACAGUACUUACUGUGUGAUUCCACUGAUAUAAAACUCCGGAAAAUGCAAGCUAAUCUAUGUGGCCGGAAGCAGAUCAGUGGUUGGGGGCAGGAGUGAUUACGGAGGGCAGGAGGGGUACUGGAUGUGUUCAGUCUGUGGAUUGUGAUGAUGAUUUCACUGGUUAUAACAUGUGUCAAGACUUCAAUUUGUACACUUUGUAUGCGUGCAGUUAUUGUAUGUUAAUCACAUUUUAAUAAAGCUGUUAAAAUAUUGACCUGAAAA